UGCCACAGCCAUAUCACCACGUAGCCCAAAACGGGUCACUCGCUGGAGCUAAGCAGGGCUGAGCCUGGUCAGUACCUGGUUGGGAGACCACAUGAGAAAAACUAGGUUGCUGUUGGAA
ensembl:rRNA 5S_rRNA 5S ribosomal RNA